UACAGAGGUCCCAAGCGUUGUUCGGAUUCACUGGGCGUAAAGGGUGCGUAGGUGGUCGGGUAAGUCUGAUGUGAAAUCUCCGAGCUUAACUCGGAAAUGGCAUUGGAUACUAUUCGGCUAGAGGGUUUGAGGGGGGACUGGAAUACUUGGUGUAGCAGUGAAAUGCGUAGAUAUCAAGUGGAACACCAGUGGCGAAGGCGAGUCCCUGGAAAACUCCUGAACACUGAGGCCACGAAAAGCUAGGGGAGCAAACAGG
rnacentral:rRNA from 1 species